UGAGCAAUCUGCCCUUCACAUCGGAAUAACCAUUGGAAACGAUGGCUAAUACCGAAUAUGACUUCGGAUCGCAUGAUCUGAAGUGGAAAGCUCCGGCGGUGAAGGAUGAGCUCGCGGCCUAUCAGCUUGUUGGUGAGGUAAUAGCUCACCAAGGCGAUGACGGGUAGCCGGCCUGAGAGGGUGACCGGCCACACUGGGACUGAGACAGGCCCA
rnacentral:rRNA from 1 species